AGAAGCUUGCUUCUUUGCUGACGAGUGGCGGACGGGUGAGUAAUGUCUGGGAAACUGCCUGAUGGAGGGGGAUAACUACUGGAAACGGUAGCUAAUACCGCAUAACGUCGCAAGACCAAAGAGGGGGACCUUCGGGCCUCUUGCCAUCGGAUGUGCCCAGAUGGGAUUAGCUAGUAGGUGGGGUAACGGCUCACCUAGGCGACGAUCCCUAGCUGGUCUGAGAGGAUGACCAGCCACACUGGAACUGAGACACGGUCCAGACUCCUACGGGAGGCAGCAGUGGGGAAUAUUGCACAAUGGGCGCAAGCCUGAUGCAGCCAUGCCGCGUGUAUGAAGAAGGCCUUCGGGUUGUAAAGUACUUUCAGCGGGGAGGAAGGGAGUAAAGUUAAUACCUUUACUCAUUGACGUUACCCGCAGAAGAAGCACCGGCUAACUCCGUGCCAGCAGCCGCGGUAAUACGGAGGGUGCAAGCGCUAAUCGGAAUUACUGGGCGUAAAGCGCACGCAGGCGGUUUGUUAAGUCAGAUGUGAAAUCCCCGGGCUCAACCUGGGAACUGCAUCUGAUACUGGCAAGCUUGAGUCUCGUAGAGGGGGGUAGAAUUCCAGGUGUAGCGGUGAAAUGCGUAGAGAUCUGGAGGAAUACCGGUGGCGAAGGCGGCCCCCUGGACGAAGACUGA
rnacentral:rRNA from 1 species